GUGCCAUUAGCUCAGUUGGUAGAGCACCUGACUCUUAAUCAGGUUGCCCAGGGUUCGACUCCCUGAUGGCGCACCA
rnacentral:tRNA from 1 species